AGGGUUUGUANNACGGCUCAGGAUGAACGCUGGCGGUGCGCCUAAUGCAUGCAAGUCGAGCAACGCAUAUCCCAGUCCGUAAGGACAGGGUAUGACGGAGCGGCGAACGGGUGAGUAACACGUGAGCAACCUGCCCCACAGAUCGGGAUAGCCCAGGGAAACUUGGAUUAAUACCGGAUAUUCUCCUUGGACCGCAUGGUCCGUUGAGGAAAUGCCUUUGUGCUGUGGGAUGGGCUCGCGAUUUAUCAGCUAGUUGGUGGGGUAACGGCCUACCAAGACAAUGACGAGUAGCUGGUCUGAGAGGACGAUCAGCCACACUGGAACUGAGACACGGUCCAGACUCCUACGGGAGGCAGCAGCAGGGAAUCUUGCGCAAUGGACGAAAGUCUGACGCAGCGACACCGCGUGGGGGAUGAAGGCCUUCGGGUUGUAAACCCCUUUUAGGAGGGAAGAAAUUGACGGUACCUCCAGAAAAAGGACCGGCCAACUACGUGCCAGCAGCCGCGGUAAUACGUAGGGUCCGAGCGUUAUCCGGAAUCAUUGGGCGUAAAGAGCUCGUAGGCGGUUCAGCAAGUCGGCUGUGAAAGUUCGAGGCUCAACCUCGAAAUUGCAGUCGAUACUGCUGUGGACUUGAAUUCGGUAGAGGAGAAUGGAAUUCCCGGUGUAGCGGUGAAAUGCGCAGAUAUCGGGAGGAAC
rnacentral:rRNA from 1 species